rnacentral:rRNA from 1 species
ACUCCUACGGGAGGCAGCAGUGGGGAAUAUUGCACAAUGGGGAAACCCUGAUGCAGCCAUGCCGCGUGUGUGAAGAAGGCCUUCGGUUGUAAAGCACUUUCAGUAGGGAGGAAGGUAGUGUAGUUAACACCUGCACUAUUUGACGUUACCUACAGAAGAAGCACCGGCUAACUCCGUGCCAGCAGCCGCGGUAAUACGGAGGGGUGCGAGCGUUAAUCGGAAUUACUGGGCGUAAAGCGCAUGCAGGCGGCCUGUUAAGUCAGAUGUGAAAGCCCGGGGGCUUAACCUCGGAAUUGCAUUUGAAACUGGCAGGCUAGAGUCUGUAGAGGGGGUAGAAGUUUCAGGUGUAGCGGUGAAAUGCGUAGAGAUCUGAAGGAAUACCAGUGGCGAAGGCGGCCCCCUGGACAAAGACUGACGCUCAGAUGCGAAAGCGUGGGGAGCG